UACGGGGGGGGCAAGCGUUGUUCGGAAUUACUGGGCGUAAAGGGUUUGUAGGUGGCUUGCUAAGUCAGACGUGAAAUCCCUCAGCUUAACUGGGGAACUGCGUCUGAUACUGGAUGGCUUGGAUCCGGGAGAGGGAUGCGGAAUUCCAGGUGUAGCGGUGAAAUGCGUAGAUAUCUGGAGGAACACCGGUGGCGAAGGCGGCAUCCUGGACCGGUAUUGACGCUGAGGAGCGAAAGCCAGGGGAGCAAACGGG
rnacentral:rRNA from 1 species